rnacentral:rRNA from 1 species
UGGAACUGAGACACGGUCCAGACUCCUACGGGAGGCAGCAGUGGGGAAUAUUGCACAAUGGGCGCAAGCCUGAUGCAGCCAUGCCGCGUGUAUGAAGAAGGCCUUCGGGUUGUAAAGUACUUUCAGCGGGGAGGAAGGUGUUGUGGUUAAUAACCGCAGCAAUUGACGUUACCCGCAGAAGAAGCACCGGCUAACUCCGUGCCAGCAGCCGCGGUAAUACGGAGGGUGCAAGCGUUAAUCGGAAUUACUGGGCGUAAAGCGCACGCAGGCGGUCUGUCAAGUCGGAUGUGAAAUCCCCGGGCUCAACCUGGGAACUGCAUUCGAAACUGGCAGGCUUGAGUCUUGUAGAGGGGGGUAGAAUUCCAGGUGUAGCGGUGAAAUGCGUAGAGAUCUGGAGGAAUACCGGUGGCGAAG